rnacentral:tRNA from 1 species
CGGAAUAGCUCACUGGUAACCAAGAGACUGAAAAUCCUCUGUGUCACAAGUUCAAAUAA